UACAGAGGUGGCAAGCGUUGUUCGGAAUUACUGGGCGUAAAGGGCGCGUAGGCGGUCCCGUCAGUCCCUUGUGAAAUCCCUCGGCUCAACUGAGGAACUGCACGGGAAACUGCCUGGCUUGAGUUCGGGAGAGGGAAGCGGAAUUCCGGGUGUAGCGGUGAAAUGCGUAGAUAUCCGGGGGAACACCGGUGGCGAAGGCGGCUUCCUGGACCGACACUGACGCUGAGGCGCGAAAGCUAGGGGAGCAAACGGG
rnacentral:rRNA from 1 species